AGCGGCAAAAGCUCAAAUUUGAAAUCUGGUAGUUUCACUGCCCGAGUUGUAAUUUGAAGAACGGUCUUUGUAGGGCAGCCUUUGUCUAUGUUCCUUGGAACAGGACGUCACAGAGGGUGAGAAUCCCGUGAGAUGGGGGCCGCACUGCUUGUAGGGCCAGUUCGACGAGUCGAGUUGUUUGGGAAUGCAGCUCUAAGUGGGUGGUAAAUUCCAUCUAAAGCUAAAUAUUGGCGAGAGACCGAUAGCGAACAAGUACAGUGAUGGAAAGAUGAAAAGAACUUUGAAAAGAGAGUGAAAAAGUACGUGAAAUUGUUGAAAGGGAAGGGCAUUUGAUCAGACUUGGUGGGGGAGUACUGGCAGUCACUUGUUGUCUGUUUACUGCUCUUCUGCUGGGCCAGCAUCG
rnacentral:rRNA from 1 species